AGUGAACGCUGGCGGUAGGCCUAACACAUGCAAGUCGAACGGCAGCACAGUAAGAGCUUGCUCUUACGGGUGGCGAGUGGCGGACGGGUGAGGAAUACAUCGGAAUCUACUUUUUCGUGGGGGAUAACGUAGGGAAACUUACGCUAAUACCGCAUACGACCUACGGGUGAAAGCAGGGGAUCUUCGGACCUUUCGCGAUUCAAUUAGCCGAUGUCGGAGUAGCUAGUUGGCUGGGUAAAGGCCCACCAAGGCGACGAUCCGUAGCUGGUCCGAGCGGAUGAGCAGCCACACUGGAACUGAGACACGGUCCAGACUCCUACGGGAGGCAGCAGUAGGGAAUAUUGGACAAUGGGCGAAAGCCUGAUCCAGCCAUACCGCGUGGGUGAAGAAGGCCUUCGGGUUGUAAAGCCCUUUUGUUGGGAAAGAAAAGCAGCAGGUUAAUACCCCGCUGUUCUGACGGUACCCAAAGAAUAAGCACCGGCUAACUUCGUG
rnacentral:rRNA from 1 species